rnacentral:rRNA from 1 species
AUUGAACGCUGGCGGCAGGCCUAACACAUGCAAGUCGAACGGUAACAGGAAGAAGCUUGCUUCUUUGCUGACGAGUGGCGGACGGGUGAGUAAUGUCUGGGAAACUGCCUGAUGGAGGGGGAUAACUACUGGAAACGGUAGCUAAUACCGCAUAACGUCGCAAGACCAAAGAGGGGGACCUUCGGGCCUCUUGCCAUCGGAUGUGCCCAGAUGGGAUUAGCUAGUAGGUGGGGUAACGGCUCACCUAGGCGACGAUCCCUAGCUGGUCUGAGAGGAUGACCAGCCACACUGGAACUGAGACACGGUCCAGACUCCUACGGGAGGCAGCAGUGGGGAAUAUUGCACAAGGGGCGCAAGCCUGAUGCAGCCAUGCCGCGUGUAUGAAGAAGGCCUUCGGGUUGUAAAGUACUUUCAGCGGGGAGGAAGGGAGUAAAGUUAAUACCUGUGCUCAUUGACGUUACCCGCAGAAGAAGCACCGGCUAACUCCGU